ensembl:lncRNA
UAUGCGUGCGUCCUGUAACUAUGGCGACGACGCACGCGCGACAGAAAACACUCAGCUCCGAAGAUGAGCUGCUCUGAGCAGAACACGGUUAAUAGAAAACGUAAACAAAGAAAAUUUGGAACCAUUUAAAGUGUACUCAACGGCUUGAUACAGUAGUACAGUGGAGUUUUGUUGACUUUGAUGGCGCAAAGGAUGAGCCGUCUUCGUCUUUUCAGCACAAACGGUGCCUCAAGGUGAUCUCAUGUUCUGCAACACCGCACCAGUGUCCCUAAAUUGUUGCCCAUCAUUCCAGGCACUGCCCCAUUGCAAAGUAGUUUGCACUUCAUAUGUGUGGGACAGUCCUCACCCGUCUUGAGGAAGGCUGGCAGAAGCCGCACAUCCAGCCUUUUGGGAACCUGUCCACACACCCAGGCUGUUCUUCCCUGCAUUGCGCUGCACAGACACUCUACAGAUCUUAUCUCCAGACUGCCAAAGGAGCUUGCAGAUAUACAGGUGCAGCACAGGAGUUUUCACACGCUCAUUGACACACAGCAUGGAGUGUAUAAAAGCCCUAAAUCAGGAGACUACAUUGGUUUAGAUGGGACUGUAUUCAUCAGCUCUAUAUUAAGGUUGUGGGACUGGGCCAAUUUGGUGGAAAACACACAUUCCCGAGGGACCGAUGUUACCAUGAGAUCCUACCUGGAACAAUGUGAUCAGCCACAGGGCUGCCUCUCCGCCCCCGUCCAACCCUAG